CGGCACGCCUUAUACAUGCAAGUCGAACGAAGUAGCAAUACUUAGUGGCAGACGGGUGAGUAACAUGUAGGUAUCUUCCCUUUGGUGAGGAAUAACACGAGGAAACUUGUGCUAAUACCUCAUAAGUCUUUACGGAGAAAGCUUUAUGCGCCGAAGGAUGAGCCUGCACUUGAUUAGUUUGUUGGUGGGGUAAUGGCCUACCAAGACUUUGAUCUAUAGCUGAUCUGAGAGGAUGAUCAGCCACAUUGGGACUGAGACACGGCCCAAACUCCUACGGGAGGCAGCAGUAGGGAAUAUUGCACAAUGGAGGAAACUCUGAUGCAGCGAUGCCGCGUGAGUGAAGAAGGCCUUUGGGUUGUAAAGCUCUUUCGUCGGGGAAGAAAAUGACUGUACCCGAAU
rnacentral:rRNA from 1 species